UACGGAGGAUCCAAGCGUUAUCCGGAAUCAUUGGGUUUAAAGGGUCCGUAGGCGGUUUAGUAAGUCAGUGGUGAAAGCCCAUCGCUCAACGGUGGAACGGCCAUUGAUACUGCUAAACUUGAAUUAUUGGGAAGUAACUAGAAUAUGUAGUGUAGCGGUGAAAUGCUUAGAGAUUAACAUGGAAUACCAAUUGCGAAGGCAGGUUACUACCAAUAUAUUGACGCUGAUGGACGAAAGCGUGGGGAGCGAACAGG
rnacentral:rRNA from 1 species